GUUUGCUUCUCUGGCGUACCCUGUGACGACGGCAUCCGCCUCAGAGCGUGGCUGAAGCGUGUGGCCGGAGGACCCGGGAGUUCCUAAGAGCUGGUGAUGAUACUUGUCUGAGACAACAGCCCGGUGAGAGAAGAACUUCCCAGACAGCGAGGUGGCUUUGUUUGGCUCUCGACCGGCCUCUCGCCGUGACUCACAUCUUCAGCCCUCUGAGAGAUAAGUGGAGCCCACAGAGGGGAUCAAAGCAGGGCGGCGGUCGGGACUGAGAUCGGUUUGGGUUUUUGAGUGAGCUUUGGGGAUGGGGAGGUUCUGGAAAUGACCCCAUAGGCCCCAAUGAGGGAAAGCCUCACUUUGGCUAACAAUGCUGAGGCAGGCAGGGCAGAGCAGUCCCAGGGUGUGUUGUCACUUGUCUCUCGUGCCUUCUGUGUCUUAUGUGCAUCUCAUGUAAUGUGUCUCUUGCCUUAGUCCUCCCAGGGGUAUAUGAGAAACCCCGGGGUCCUUCCG